rnacentral:rRNA from 1 species
UGGGGAAUAUUGGACAAUGGGCGAAAGCCUGAUCCAGCCAUGCCGCGUGUGUGAAGAAGGUCUUCGGAUUGUAAAGCACUUUAAGUUGGGAGGAAGGGCAUUAACCUAAUACGUUAGUGUUUUGACGUUACCGACAGAAUAAGCACCGGCUAACUCUGUGCCAGCAGCCGCGGUAAUACAGAGGGUGCAAGCGUUAAUCGGAAUUACUGGGCGUAAAGCGCGCGUAGGGUGUUUGGUAAGGUGGAUGUGAAAUCCCCGGGCUCAACCUGGGAACUGCAUUCAAAACUGACUGACUAGAGUAUGGUAGAGGGUGGUGGAAUUUCCUGUGUAGCGGUGAAAUGCGUAGAUAUAGGAAGGAACACCAGUGGCGAAGGCGACCACCUGGACUAAUACUGACACUGAGGUGCGAAAGCGUGGGGAGCAAACA